UACAGAGGUGGCAAGCGUUGUUCGGAAUUACUGGGCGUAAAGGGCGCGUAGGCGGUUCGAUAAGUCCCGUGUGAAAUCCCUCGGCUCAACUGAGGAACUGCACGGGAAACUGCUUGGCUUGAGAUCGGGAGAGGGAAGCGGAAUUCCGGGUGUAGCGGUGAAAUGCGUAGAGAUGCGGAGGAACACCGAUGGCGAAGGCAGCCCCCUGGGCUAACACUGACGCUCAGGCACGAAAGCGUGGGGAGCAAACAGG
rnacentral:rRNA from 1 species